CCGUAGCUCAGUAGGAUAGAGCGACGGAUUCCUAAUCCGUAGGUCACAGGUUCGAAUCCUGUCGG
rnacentral:tRNA from 1 species